rnacentral:rRNA from 1 species
UAGGGGUAGGUGGGAUUAAGCUUUUUAGUUUAGGUUAAAAUUGUGUUAGGGGGAACAAAAGAAGAGAAAGGCUUUAGAUUGUUUGGUUUUUUGUUUUUUAGUAUUGCAUAUUAUUAGAAGAUCAUUUUUAUUGUUGGAUAAUUAAUAGAAAUAAAAGGGGGAGGAAUUUUUGGGUUUAUUGGUGUAUGAUAAGAAUUAUUAUUUUUUGUUUUGAUAUAACGGCGUUUAUUAUAUCUGUGUUUUGUUUAUUUUUUAGAAAAUUGUAGAUUUGGAUUAAUUUUGUGGAAGAUUAGGAUUUGGAGUUUUUUGUUUUUUAGUGUUAUGACUUUUUCUGUAUUAGUUUUUGAUUUUUUUUGUUUUUUAUAUUAAUAUUUUAAUAUUUUAAUAGUUUUUAAUUUAGUAGAUUAUUUGUAUUAUGUUUAGUGUUGUUAUUUUAAAUUGAAUGCCUGUUUUUAUGAUCAAAUGUUUAUUAAAGACUUAGACCCUAUUUGGGUGUUGUCCUCUGCUCUAUGAUUAUUAAAUGGCCCCCUUAGCGUGAGGGCAUGAAAGUAGCAAAAUAAUUUGUGUUUUUAAUGGAUUCGAGUAUGAAAGGGGGUUUGUUUAUUUUUGUUUUAUUUUUAUUUUGAAUUAAAGUAGUGUUUAAUAAUUAAUGUUUGUAGUUAACCAAAGAUAAGUCUUCGAAAAUUCUGUUAAUCCUGGAAAAUUUGAGUUUGGUGAUUAUGUUAUUUAGGGCAAGGUUUUGUACAAAAGUUUUACUAGUUUUAUGUAAAAGAGUUACUUCCGAGUUAACCGAAAAUCCACUUUUUUCUAGAUGUUAUAGAUGAAAGGGUUUUACCUCCAUGUUGUAUUCUAAUUGGCUGAAGGAGUA